rnacentral:rRNA from 1 species
UUCUUUCGGGAAUGGAAAUGAAAUGAAAGUGGCGAACGGGUGAGUAACACGUGAGCAACCUACCUUACACAGGGGGAUAGCCGUUGGAAACGACGAUUAAUACCGCAUGAGACCACAGAAUCGCAUGAUAUAGGGGUCAAAGAUUUAUCGGUGUAAGAAGGGCUCGCGUCUGAUUAGCUAGUUGGAAGGGUAAAGGCCUACCAAGGCGACGAUCAGUAGCCGGUCUGAGAGGAUGAACGGCCACAUUGGAACUGAGACACGGUCCAAACUCCUACGGGAGGCAGCAGUGGGGAAUAUUGCACAAUGGGGGGAACCCUGAUGCAGCGACGCCGCGUGAGCGAAGAAGGUUUUCGAAU